rnacentral:lncRNA from 1 species
GUCAGGACUUACGAUAGAGAAACUGUAUCAUACGUUAACUGCAUCUAAAGGUUCAUCACUUUUUAUUCUACUAGAUUGCCACUAUAUACAGCUAGGUGUUACUGAUGGAUUGUGAGACCCACGAGCAUCAUCUUGAUGAUCGAUGAUCUUUGGUGGGCAGAAUUGGAAUGGUUCCAACUCAUUGAAAGAAGUUUUGAUGAUAUU